rnacentral:rRNA from 1 species
CAGUAGCCGCGGGAAUACAGAGGUCCCGAGCGUUGUUCGGAUUCACUGGGCGUAAAGGGUGUGUAGGAGGUUGGAUAAGUCAGGUGUGAAAUCCCGCAGCUCAACUGCGGAACUGCAUUCGAUACUGUUCAACUAGAGGAUCGGAGGGGGAAGCGGAAUUCUUGGUGUAGCGGUGAAAUGCGUAGAUAUCAAGAGGAACACCGGUGGCGAAGGCGGCUUCCUGGAAGAUACCUGACUCUGAAACACGAAAGCCAGGGGAGCGAAUGGGAUUAGAUACCCCGGUAGUCCCUGUCUCUUAUAC